GGUGAAUCUUCGUCAGUGUUGAGGGUGAUGAAAUCAAACACGACCAUGCAAAGGUUGAUAAUGACCCUGAGUUUCACUCCCAACCUGACAAGUCCAAAACUGUGAUUGAGAAUGAUGCAGUGUUUUCUAGUCCAGCUUUGGAAUCAAAAACUAAAAUCCUUGGCAGUAGUAGUUCACUACAGCAGAAUGCAAAUAUGGAGCAUAAGUUAGAUCAUUUAGGUCAUGGAAGUAAUCAAGUUAGUGACUGUAAUUGUGGUCAAACUCAAGAUGCAGAUGUGAACUCUAAAAGUCUUGACUGCAAUUGGGAACUUAUGCAUAUGUUCAAUUACCGUGGGGAUGUUUAUUGAGAUUAUUGUUAUGUAUCCCAUCCAAGAUCGACAAUAUCGCCCUGGAAUUGAUAACCUUCUUGUGCUUCUCAUUGGUGGAAUCCCAAUUGCACUGCCCACAAUUCUCUCAGUGACUAUGGCCAUUGGUUCUCAUAGGCUAUCGCAGCAGGUAUGUUAGGUUCAAUUGAGUAUGUUUGGUGGACAUUGAUAGCAAUAGUGAUUAAUUGGUUAUAUGAUUUUUUUUGUGGUCAUAUUUAUUUUUCAAUUUUACUCUUUAAAUAAAAGAUUUUUAAAAUAUAAAUAAUUAUUUUAGUGAUGGUAUCUUCAAUUUUAACUAUUCUUUUGAUUUGACAUUAAAUUUAAGCUUAAUCAUAUUUAUAAUUAUAAAACUAUAUACCAUACAAUUUGUUGAAGUUUUACUAAUGGAAUAGGAGAUUAUAUGAAAGAAGUAACCUAAAUGUUGUGGAACAUAAUUAGCUGUUGCAGAAAAAUCGGAAAUUAUUUGAGUUAAUUUAAUUAGCAUUAUAAAUGUUUAAAAAAUUUAACCAGCUGAUAAGUAUUGGAUUAGAUUGCUAUUUUUUCACAAUAGUUUGGUUAAUUUUGUGAACGUCGUAUUUGUUAAAAAUUGAUAUAGUACAUUAAUUUUCUUUUCUAUCUUGCUUCUAUUAAGGCUGAAUGAAUCAUAUGGAUUGGUUAAGGGUCAUGAUUGAGCUUGAUUUAAUUGACUCAAAACAAACAUGCUAGUAGUUGAAUGUUUUUUCUUUGUAUGUUUUUUCUUGUGCUUAGAUUUACAGGUCAUUUUCAACCAUAUCCUUUCUAAGUAUCAUGUUUAUAUUCUGCACUUGGAAAAAAUAUACUGAUUUUACACCAGUAUAUUUGUCUAAUCUUAUUAACACCAUAUACUCCUCGUGAUCUCAUUUAUUUCUUCUUUUUAUUUUCAGGAGAUCAGCUAGCCAUAGGAAAGGAAACUGGCCG
rnacentral:sRNA from 1 species